CUACACUCUUUCCCUACACGACGCUCUUCCGAUCUCUGAGAGCCGACGAAAGACGUGAUAAGCUGCGAUAAGCUGCGGUAAGGAGCAAAUAUCCAUUGACCCGCAGAUUUCUGAAUGGGGAAACCUACGCAAGAAGACCUUGCGUACUCAUACAUGAAUACAUAGUGUAUGAGAGGGAACCCGGGGAACUGAAACAUCUAAGUACCCGGAGGAAGAGAAAGAAACAUCGAUUUCCUGAGUAGCGGCGAGCGAAAGGGAAAGAGCCCAAACCAGAGGAUUUAUCCUUUGGGGUUAGGACUGCAUAAUUGAUCUGCAAUUGAUAGGAGAACGGUCUGGGAAGUCCGGCGAGAAAGCGUGAAAGCCGCGUAUCCGAAAUCGAAAGCAGCAAGGCAGGAUCCAGAGUACCACGAGACACGAGAAACCUUGUGGGAAUGAGCGGAGACCACUCCGUAAGGCUAAAUACUACUCAGUGACCGAUAGCGCAUAGUACUGUGAAGGAAAGGUGAAAAGGACCCCGGGAGGGGAGUGAAAGAGAACCUGAAACCCUGUGUUUACAAGCUGUCGAAGCACGCAAGUGCGACGGCGUACUUUUUGUAGAACGGUCCGGCGAGUUAUGAUGAGUGGUAAGGUUAAGGACUUAAGGUCCGGAGCCGAAGCGAAAGCGAGUGUUAAAAGCACGGUUGAAUCGCUUAUCAUAGACCCGAAACCGGGUGAUCUAUCCAUGUCCAGGUUGAAGCUGCCGUAAGAGGUAGUGGAGGACCGAACACACAUCCGUUGAAAAGGGUGGUGAUGAGGUGUGGAUAGGGGAGAAAUUCCAAUCGAACCCGGAGAUAGCUGGUUCUCCUCGAAAUAGCUUUAGGGCUAGCCUCUGGUUAGUCUGCCGCAGGUAGAGCACUGAAUUUCCUAGGGGGCGUCAAAGCCUACCGAAGAAUAUCAAACUGCGAAUGGCGGACAGAUGAUGCCAGGGAGUCAGACUGCACGAGAUAAGUUGGGUGGUCAAAAGGGAAAGAGCCCAGACCUACAGCUAAGGUCCCAAAGUGUGUGUUAAGUGGAAAAGGAUGUGGGAUUUCGAAGACAACUAGGAUGUUGGCUCAGAAGCAGCCACACAUUAAAAGAGUGCGUAAUAGCUCACUAGUCGAGAGGUCCUGCGCCGAAAAUGUCCGGGGCUAAAACACAACACCGAAGCUUAGGAAUUCUAAUGAAUUGGUAGAGGAGCAUUGAAGACGGAACGAAGCCAUACCGGAAGGAAUGGUGGACUGUCUUGAAGAGAGAAUGCCGGAAUGAGUAGCGAGAUUGAAGUGAGAAUCUUCAAGGCCGAAUAUCUAAGGUUUCCAGGGUAAAGCUGAUCUGCCCUGGGUAAGUCGGGGCCUAAGGCAAGGUCGAAAGACGUAGUCGAUGGAUAACAGGUUGAAAUUCCUGUACUGCAUCAAAUCAGAAAUGUGGGGACACAUGAGGGAAGCAUGAGCCGGAAAAGGAAAGUCCGGUACAAGCGCAGCAGAGGACAGAUAGGCAAAUCCGUCUGUCAACUCAAGGGCGCGAUGUGGAGCGAACCAAAGUAGCGAAGCAUGUGGAGCUUGUGUCGAGAAAAGCCGCUAUUGUGUUUGAUGUACCCGUACCGUAAACCGACACAGGUGGAUGAGGAGAGAAUCCUAAGGCCGGCGGGAGAAGCAUUGUUAAGGAACUCGGCAAAAUGACCCCGUAACUUCGGGAGAAGGGGUGCUCUUAGAAAUAAGAGCCGCAGAGAAUUGGCCCAAGCAACUGUUUAGCAAAAACACAGGUCUAUGCAAAACCGAAAGGUGAGGUAUAUGGGCUGACGCCUGCCCGGUGCUGGAAGGUUAAGAGGAGAUGUUAGCCGCAAGGUGAAGCAUUGAAUUUAAGCCCCAGUAAACGGCGGCCGUAACUAUAACGGUCCUAAGGUAGCGAAAUUCCUUGUCGGGU
rnacentral:rRNA from 1 species